ensembl:lncRNA
GGAGUCUCCGCGGCUAACGUUUGCACCCAUGGGAGAGAAAGCUAAGCUCCGCCCCUGCAAAAGGGGGAACCUAAGCUAUUGAAGCUAGGGGUGAGCAUAUUUUUUCAACACAAUGAAACUGCAUUUCUGUUGAUUUUUUAUGAAUAGAUGAUUGCAGAGUAUAAUCUUUCAGUGUCAUUUGUUAAAUUAAAUUUAGUUUAUCUGUAAAUAGAGUUGAAAUGUGUACUUAUUUUUUCACAUGACUGUACAGUACGUUUAAGGUAAGCAGCAACAGCAUAUGGACAAAUAAUAUUUUACCUUGUUAUUUUUCUUUUGCCCUGAAAGAGCACUCCUAAAUUGUGUGAUCUAUGUACAAGGGAAAACAAUUACUUUAAAACAUGUUCCUAGUGGUGAGUAAAAGCAGCGGAUGUUAAAAUCCGCCAGCCUUCUCACUUGGGAAUACUUUCUAGCCUCUCAUGUCUGGCACAUUCACAAAUGUGUCCGGGAAUUGGAGAUGUUCAAUCACACACUCGUGCAAGGAAAGUGAUGGACACAUAAUGUACUGUACAAAGCUCUCCUCCAUCUUUCCCUCUCUCCCCAGGGAAGGUAACACCAGAUCCAAUGCAAUAUUUGAUGUUCCAGGUCCACAGGAGGUUGUGAUAUGCUGAAAAAACUGGCUACUAAGGUCAAUGCGGUUGGGAAAGGCAUGGAGCAAUGUGCAACAACCACGCGGAGAGCGAUAAGCGGGAUUUCCGCUCUGGUCAACUCUAUGCACAUACUCUUGGAGAACGAGGAAAGAAAAAGGUGCAGUGGUCUCUUAAUGUUUUCCGGAGCUGUAUGUAGUGUGAAGACAUAAUAAGCUGGAAAAACAAUUGAAGGCCAUGACUACCCUUAUGAAGCAAUCCCAAACCUCAGCACAGCAAUUGGGAUACCAAGUGAGCAAGCUUUUCAACAUUUCAAAACUUCUGAUUACUUGAAUUACAUAAUUUCUUCAACCUUUUUUGUAAGUGAUUCCUGAAACUACAGAAUGUUUCCAUGUGUCUGACCCUCUGUUUCCAGUAAUGGCUUUGUAUUCAUAAAACACAAUUGGGGCUGAUGGUUUGAACAAAGUCAAGUGAAUAGUUUAUUACCACAGGGAAGAUUACAUAUGCUUUGAUCAUUCUUUUACGCAACAGCAAAAUGCAUGCACACACAUGCAAGCAAACACAGACACACAAUAUGACUUCUUGACCUUGGAUGUUCUCUCACAGCUCGGAGGCCUUGUAAGUCUUGUCUGAAUUGGAGAACAAGUUCAGACUCCCUGUGCACAAGGGCCUCAUUUGGCAUUCAGCACCCUACUGAUGUGUUGGCUAAGCACAGAUCCUAAUUGCGUCGGCCAUUUUGUACCACUUGUUGUUUUCCCUUUGAUGUGAUCGUUAACAUGGAGGGAUGCAGGGAGUCCACACUCUGGGGUGCCUGCCAAUGUCAAGGGGCCAGGUAAACACAUCUGACUCACCUAUGAUGCUGUAGUAGUGGCAUCAAGGUAUAACUCAUUGUGAUAUGGUGCGUCUCUAUGAUCACAGGUGGACGGCUAAAAAUAGACAGAUUUCUGCAAGGUGUUUGACGUUUGGAACGUCACGGUGUAGACUGCAAAUAGAUCAGUAACACGUCAACACUUUAAUUUAGAGUGAGAGUCACUCUUUAUUUCCAAAAGACAAAAAUAGAAUCAGAUCAUUCUUAAAAAGAACAUUUUUAAAAAUAGACGCAGAAAAAUGAAAAGUAGAAAUUUCUUACCAUCAUUAAUCUGCCUCUAUGUGGUUAUUCCGAGUGCACCAUUGUGCAUUAACAACCACACACUAUGCAAUUAGUCCAAGGCGAGGUGCAAUCUUAAAAGCGAAUGCAACACAUAGCUUACUCUCAAUACUCCUUUACCAGAGCUAUAUUGAUUUAUAUUAGCAACAGCCUAAUUAACAUUUAAUCUAGUCAUACAUUUUAGAGUGAGUCGGAAAGUCACUUAAUGUGGGAAUCUGUUAAAAAAGAACCGUAUAAUUCACUGCUCGCACAGAUACCAAUUACGUGCAAACAGAUUUCUUCUAUGAAUGCUUAAAAAUGUUGUCAUGAUGAGAUAUUACUGACGCUACUCGUGUCCAUAGGCACUCAGCAACAUUUAUGCAUGAACAAAUUUAAUCUGAAUUAGAACAGCAGGU